rnacentral:rRNA from 1 species
CUGUGAGCUCGAUGAGUAGGGCGGGACACGUGGUAUCCUGUCUGAAUAUGGGGGGACCAUCCUCCAAGGCUAAAUACUCCUGACUGACCGAUAGUGAACCAGUACCGUGAGGGAAAGGCGAAAAGAACCCCGGCGAGGGGAGUGAAAAAGAACCUGAAACCGUGUACGUACAAGCAGUGGGAGCACAGAGCAAUCUGUGUGACUGCGUACCUUUUGUAUAAUGGGUCAGCGACUUAUAUUCUGUAGCAAGGUUAACCGAAUAGGGGAGCCGAAGGGAAACCGAGUCUUAACUGGGCGUUAAGUUGCAGGGUAUAGACCCGAAACCCGGUGAUCUAGCCAUGGGCAGGUUGAAGGUUGGGUAACACUAACUGGAGGACCGAACCGACUAAUGUUGAAAAAUUAGCGGAUGACUUGUGGCUGGGGGUGAAAGGCCAAUCAAACCGGGAGAUAGCUGGUUCUCCCCGAAAGCUAUUUAGGUAGCGCCUCGUGAAUUCAUCUCCGGGGGUAGAGCACUGUUUCGGCAAGGGGGUCAUCCCGACUUACCAACCCGAUGCAAACUGCGAAUACCGGAGAAUGUUAUCACGGGAGACACACGGCGGGUGCUAACGUCCGUCGUGAAGAGGGAAACAACCCAGACCGCCAGCUAAGGUCCCAAAGUCAUGGUUAAGUGGGAAACGAUGUGGGAAGGCCCAGACAGCCAGGAUGUUGGCUUAGAAGCAGCCAUCAUUUAAAGAAAGCGUAAUAGCUCACUGGUCGAGUCGGCCUGCGCGGAAGAUGUAACGGGGCUAAACCAUGCACCGAAGCUGCGGCAGCGACGCUUAUGCGUUGUUGGGUAGGGGAGCGUUCUGUAAGCCUGCGAAGGUGUGCUGUGAGGCAUGCUGGAGGUAUCAGAAGUGCGAAUGCUGACAUAAGUAACGAU